ACCUCAAUUCCAGAAACUACAACAACCCUUUCAACAACAUCAAGUCCAACAACUACAACAUCUACAUCCACUUCAGAGACCACAACAAGUAUUACAACUACUACAUCAACUUCCACCUUCAUACCAGAUUGUUAUUACUGUACGUCAACUGAAUGGAUUGAUGUAAGCUCGCCAAAACAUGACAUAACUGGAGAUAUUGAAUCUUUU